CUGGUGUUCCUCCUGUCAAGACAUAACUUGUUCCUCCAGACUGACUUCUGCUUUGCUUUGAAUGCUGUUUGGUAGUAGUGUCAAAGCUUUUGAUGACUGCUUUGCUUUGAAUGAUCUGCAUCUGUGGAUUUGAGUCGGAGACAUCCUGCUCUAGGCAAUUUUGGCCCAGCAUCUUCCGUGCUCCUCAGUUUUGCUUUGAUGCAGAGCUGAAACUUGAGCGAGACAAUGCAGCAUACAAAGAGAAGGGUACAUUGUUUACUCCAGAUCCUAAACUUAAGUUGAACAUUCUUGAAGGCCUGGUUCAAGAAAUUGUCCGAUACAAAGUUUAUGUCACUGAUAAAGAGUUUAACACAGAUGGAGAGGCCCUCAUCUCUAAACA